GGCUAAUUCCGUGCCAGCAGCCGCGGUAAUCCGGAGGUGCAAGCGUUAUUGGAAUUACUGGGCGUAAAGCGCACGCAGGCGGUCUGUCAAGUCGGAUGGAAAUCCCCGGGCUCAACCUGGGAACUGCAUUCGAAACUGGCAGGCUAGAGUCUUGUAGAGGGGGGUAGAAUUCCAGGUGUAGCGGUGAAAUGCGUAGAGAUCUGGAGGACUACCGGUGGCGAAGGCGGCCCCCUGGACAAAGACUGCCGCUCAGGUGCGAAAGCGUGGGGAGCAACCAGGAUUAGAUACCCUGGUAGUCCACGCCGUAAACGAUGUCGAUUUGGAGGUUGUGCCCUUGAGGCGUGGCUUCCGGAGCUAACGCGUUAAAUCGACCGCCUGGGGAGUACGGCCGCAAGGUUAAAACUCAAAUGAAUUGACGGGGGCCCGCACAAGCGGUGGAGCAUGUGGUUUAAUUGGAUGCAACGCGAAGAACCUUACCUGGUCUUGACAUCCACAGAACUUCCCAGAGAUGAUUUGGUCCCUUCGGGAAUUGUGAGACAGGUGCUGCAUGGCGGUCGUCAGCUCGUGUUGUGAAAUGUUGGGUUAAGUCCCGCAACGAGCGCAACCCUUAUCCUUUGUUGCCACCGGUUAGGCCGGGCACUCAAAGGAGACUGCCAGUGAUAAACUGGAGGAAGGUGGGGAUGACGUCAAGUCAUCAUGGCCCUUACGACCAGGGCUACACACGUGCUACAAUGGCGCAUACAAAGAGAAGCGACCUCGCGAGAGCAAGCGGACCUCAUAAAGUAUGUCGUAGUCCGGAUUGCAGUCUGCAACUCGACUCCAUGAAGUCGGAAUCGCUAGUAAUCGUAGAUCAGAAUGCUACGGUGAAUACGUUCCCGGGCCUUGUACACACCGCCCGUCACACCAUGGGAGUGGG
rnacentral:rRNA from 1 species